rnacentral:rRNA from 1 species
CCUACGGGAGGCAGCAGUGGGGAAUAUUGCACAAUGGGGGAAACCCUGAUGCAGCGACGCCGCGUGAGUGAAGAAGUAUUUCGGUAUGUAAAGCUCUAUCAGCAGGGAAGAAGAAAGACGGUACCUGACUAAGAAGCCCCGGCUAACUACGUGCCAGCAGCCGCGGCAAUACGUAGGGGGCAAGCGUUAUCCGGAUUUACUGGGGGUAAAGGGAGCGUAGACGGCAGUGCAAGUCUGAAGUGAAAGCCCAGGGCUCAACCCUGGGACUGCUUUGGAAACUGUGGAGCUAGAGUGCGGGAGAGGUAAGUGGAAUUCCUGGUGUAGCGGUGAAAUGCGUAGAUAUUAGGAGGAACACCAGUGGCGAAGGCGGCCUGCUGGACAGUAACUGACGUUGAGGCUCGAAAGCGUGGGGAGCAAACAGGAUUAGAUACCCUAGUAGUC